GUUAUUAAAUGCUGUUUAAUGAUUUAAAGCUAAAUUUUCCAGGUGCUGAAUAGAUAGGAACAUUUAUUCACUAUAUUUUCCAGAUUGUAAUGUGAACUCCAAAAGCAUUUAUAAUCAGAUCCAGGGGUUUUCACCUUUUUUUUGAAACUGUACCCCUUCUGUAGGGAGGUUUCAGAUAAAGUACGCUUUACAUUUUUCGCUCAAUGAAUGGUACCACAGUUGCAAUAAAAGGCAGAAUAAUCUGAUUAACACAUUUCUUUUUUUCUCCUGUUUAUUUAAUAUAUGUACACGCUACUACUGUUAAUAAAAUGCGGUAAUAAACAAAAACCGUGAAAGUAUGAGUAUUGCGAUGACUAUGUAUGUUUACCAGAGCAUUUAAACACUGUGCUUCACUGAUACGACAAGUUGAAAACAACAAAGAUCAAACGCAGCACAGAACGCUCUCCAGGCACAGUCGCCUGACACCUGUGGACGUGACAGAUUCUGUUUUUUUUUUUUUUGUUUUUUUUUUCAUUAGCCAUUCACUUUGAGCUGCUAAACAAAUAUUAAGCAAGCAUACAUUGCGGUUUAGAGAACAUAUAAUACCGUUAAAAAAUUCAAGGUCAUUAUUUUCCCUUAAUUUCAUUUUUCUUUGUUCAUUUCUGAGUCGUUCCGCGUACACCCUAGUAUUACCCUUAGAAGUACCCCCGUUGAAAACCCCUGCUCCAAUCAAUUACCAUGCCUCCAUAUCAGAGCAAGGCAGGGCACUAUAAAUAGCACCCCAUCAACGCUCCGUUUAAAGGGUAAGGUUUCUGCUUAUUGUUUUAGUGGACACGUGUCCAUAUGUAACAUCAUUAGCCAUGUGAUCGCUGCUAACCUCCCCCAUUUAACACAUAAUUACAUGCCUAAUCUUGCAUGAAAUUGUACCGCUAAGGACACCACAGAAGGGAAGCUCGAAAGGACAGCAGUGUUGAUGAGUUUAAAAGAAACAAAAGGCUUUUUAUUAUCACUCUCGUACUGUCAGCGCUAACGGCUACCUUGAGUAAUACAAGUAACAGUCUGCAGAAAACACAUGCAGCAUUAUCAGUAUCGUAAAAGCGGUACCACCUUCCGCUUGCAUCACAUUCACAUCAAGUUGAGGCAUGCACGCAGCGUGGAUCGUGCAAUGAAGCAGGAAACGCUGGACAAGUUUGUAAUCAGAAAGUGAGUGCGACAAUGCAUUGUACAGAUGUGGCCGACCAGGACAAAAGAACCACCUGACAGAAGGAGGAAAAAAGAAACCCGCUGUUAGGAAACACGGGAACUCGACGAUCACACCCUGGACUGGACCCUUUGGCUUCAUUUCCUCGAUCGCACAACGGUAUUAGCUCAGAAUGGACCCCAGGAUUUCCGACUCCAACACUGCACCAAAAUAUCACCCUGGGUAGAUCUGCUCAGUAAGCUUCGGAGAAACCACAACAAGCCUUGACUUUGACACCUGUGUUCCAGUUAUCGCCAUGACCUCUUGAAAACACAACAAACAAUCCGGGGCGUUCGCCAAAAAAAAUAAACAAUUAUAUGUAGUUCUUAAAAAAACAAUCUUAAAAAAAAAACAUUCUGCCUUGUUCUGCCCUUUCAUUCCCAACUCCGCUCUAUGCCACUCUUUUCUCUUCGAAAGCAAGUUCAGUUGUUUUCUCACAGCCAUAUCUUCUCCGAUAAUCCUAACCCAAAAGAUCUCCUUCCUCAGUGAUCCAAAAAAAAAAAAAACCCGCCAAGACAAGACUCUCCUUCCUCUUUCCUGUCCUGCCCCUUUUACAGGGCUGCGGGUGUUCCAAUCACUUCAGAAAGUAGGGUUAAAAAUAACAGUUUUUGAAUUUACAAAAUGAAAAACGCAUGCUUAUUUAUUACUGCAAAGUGGAAAAAGAGGGCCCCAAGUUUCCUUAAGGACUCCUCAGGCAUGCAUGUUUUUAUUUUGAAUGGUACAGUGUAAACAGUUGAAAACAGAUGUAUUUAACUGCCAAAGUAUGCUGACUGAAAAGCAGAUGUUUAAAUCUCUCAACCAACCCCCAUCAAAGCAAAUCCUCUAUACACAUCGCAGACUUUCUAAACAUAAUUUAUAUUUGAGUUGAAGAAUCUGCCCCAAACAAACUGAUAAAACAUUGAAUUGAGGUACUGUAGGUUUUCCAGCUAUUACAUUUAAAUGGUUGAACUUGAAAUGAUUUCAGUUGAAUUAAAAUGUUUUACGGUGUUAAAUGUGAUUAAGAGCUAUGCACAUAAACUAUCAUCAAGACAUAUUAUAUUAUAUAUUAUAUUAACUUUGUGUCGUUUUUGUGAGCAAACAGAACAAUAGCUCAUAGCAGGCUUUUCCCCAGGUAAAACAGGCUACUAGUACAGCAUGUACUGUGUACACUGCCAGUACUUUUUAAAUACAGAAUGCUACUGUUCUAUCCCACAUGCUUAUACAACCAAGGGCAGCAUGGGAGUGCAGACCUCUGAUUCCAGAGGAGACAGUGCACCCUAGUGGUGAUCCUAGAGCUUGGAAACAUGGUUUUAGCUUAAAGGGAUAGUUUUAUAUCCUCCACAUUUUCCUGAUAUCUUUUUGCACCUGUUUAAUGUAUUAGUAUGUGUGAUUUGUAGGCUUCUCUGUUGCAGUUUUUGUUUAAAUAAUUAUUUUCCUGGAUUUUUGAAUAUUCCAGCAAAAAAUGCUACAGAAAAAAUACCUCAAUGCUGAUUGUGGGGAAGUGAGGUUAUAGAAUCAUAUCAGUGUUGGCCUGUUCAAUAAUAAUAAUAAUUAUAAUUUAGUUUUAAAACAAAUAAUUCAAAUUCAAAAAUCCCCUAAAUCACUGAAAAUUAAUCAAUGUAAAUGAGUUUGUUAAAAGCCUCCCUGAAUAAAUGAAGUCAUUAUCUGAGCCCAUGGCACAUUCCGUAGGAAGAAACAGCAACAGGGAAGACCUUGGCAGAGUCCCUGAAAUUCUAGGCAUGCAGAAGAGGUCUCGGUCAUAGGCAUCCUGAGACAGCCUGUCUGUGACAUUGGUCUGUUAAAUGACUAUUCCCAGCAUGUGCAUGUUGGAAAGUUACCAUGUUAACCAAGCAGGAUGGGGAUUUACAUAUAAUUCAUAAAACCAAUACCUGGUUACUUUUGCAGGUAUCAUUUUAUAUAUAAAUACAUACAGUGCAUAUAUAUGGACAUACAGUACAGGUGCCUCCGCUUUAUCAAGGGGAAAUGCUGAAUGUUUUAAAUAAACUAUUUCUCUGUAAGAUUAAAAUAAUUGAAUUGAUAUUUGACAUCACGCACACGAUGAUCUUUUGCAUAUGCAUGGAGAGGGUGUGACCUGGGAAGUUAAAUGUUUCUCUUUUUUUACACACUGUAGAGCUGACCUUCACCCACACUACCACUGGGGUAGAAUGAAAUGUCGAAACAUUUUGUAAGACUAACACAACUAAGCUGCUUGUUCAAAUAGAAAUCCUUGACCUCUGCUUAUUAUUUCAUUCCACAGAUGUCUGUGGAGAGAGAAAGCAAAACAUUGUUUCAUCCGAUUGCUUC